UCUAAUGUGGCAGAAUAGUGCAACGGACUUAAAACCCGCAUAUAAAGACUCUCCUUUCUUUAGAA
rnacentral:tRNA from 1 species